CACACACAGGUAAACACACACAGGUAAAUACACACAGGUAAACACACACAGGUAAAUACACACAGGUAACCACACACAGGUAACCACACACACACACACAGGUAAACACACACAGGUAAAUACACACAGGUAAACACACACAGGUAAACACACACAGGUAAAUACACACAGGUAAACACACACAGGUAAACACACACACACACACAGGUAAACACACACAGGUAAACACACACAGGUAAACACACACAGGUAAACACACACAGGUAAACA